UACACGACUCUCGGCAACGGAUAUCUAGGCUCUCGCAUCGAUGAAGAACGUAGCAAGCUGCGAUACUUGGUGUGAAUUGCAGAAUCCCAUGAACCAUCGAGUCUUUGAACGCAAGUUGCGCCCGAAGCCAUUAGGCCAAGGGCACGUCUGCGUGGGCAUCACGCAUC
rnacentral:rRNA from 1 species